GCCCGGGUGGUGAAAUUGGUAGACACGCAAGACUUAAAAUCUUGUCGCCUUUGGGCGGUGCCGGUUCGAGGCCGGCCCCGGGCACCA
rnacentral:tRNA from 1 species